CACUGAAGCAGUAGAUGAGUGAGUGAAUGGCUACAAAAUUCAAUCGUGACAGAAUGGAACACUGGAACCCAUCUUGGAAAUCUACUCACUCAACCUUGAAGACUGUAAAACACUGGCAUGUGUAUGUGUGGGGGGGCUUUUCUUGUCACAUACUGGACCCUGCACACAGGCACAAUCAGGUCUCUCAUGGAGGCGAACUGCUCGGUCCCCGCCGUGUCCAGGAUUUCCAGCACGGAGGGAGACGA